CUACGGGGGGCAGCAGUCGAGGAAAUUUUACAAUGCUCGCAAGAGUGAUAGAAUAAACCAGAGUGUUCUAUUUAAUAGAACUUUUAUCUGCUGUAAAAAGGCAGAUGAAUAAGGACUGGGCAAGACCGGUGCCAGCCGCCGCGGUAAUACCGGCGGUCCAAGUCGUAUCCACAUUUAUUGGGUCUAAAACAUUCGUAGCUUGUUUUGCAAGUCUCUUGUGAAAUCUGACAUCUCAAAUGUCAGGCGUGCAAGAGAUACUACAUUACUAGAGACCGGAAGACGUAAGGAGUAUGGUUGAGGUAGCGGUAAAAUGUGUUAAUCUCAAUUAGACUGACAAUGGCGAAGGCACCUUACGAGUACGGAUCUGACAGUGAGGGAUGAAGGCUAGGGGCGCAAAAGGGAUUAGAUACCCGGGUAGUC
rnacentral:rRNA from 1 species